UACGUAGGCGGUUUAUUAAGUCAGAUGUGAAAGCCCCGGGCUUAACCUGGGAACUGCAUUUGAUACUGGUAAGCUAGAGUAUGGUAGAGGGGGUAGAAUUCCUAGUGUAGCGGUGAAAUGCGUAGAUAUUAGGAGGAAUACCAGUGGCGAAGGCGGCCCCCCUGGACCAAUACUGACGCUGAGGUACGAAAGCGUGGGUAGCGAACA
rnacentral:rRNA from 1 species